rnacentral:rRNA from 1 species
UACGAAGGGGGCUAGCGUUGCUCGGAAUCACUGGGCGUAAAGCGCACGUAGGCGGACUCUUAAGUCGGUGGUGAAAUCCUGGAGCUCAACUCCAGAACUGCCUUCGAUACUGAGAGUCUCGAGUCCGGGAGAGGUGAGUGGAACUGCGAGUGUAGAGGUGACAUUCGUAGAUAUUCGCAAGAACACCAGUGGCGAAGGCGGCUCACUGGCCCGGUACUGACGCUGAGGUGCGAAAGCGUGGGGAGCAAACAGG